ANGUCGAACUACUCUACCGACUAUGAAUGAUCUAGAUGUACUAAUGCUUGUUCUUGACCUGUGAGAGGCUUAGACGCUUACUUGCUCGGCAAUGACAACAUUGAUGACCUUAAUUUAUAACUAAAUUGCCGGCUACUUACNUGCCACCAGCCGCGGUAAUACGUAAGGGGCGAGCGUUGUUCGGGAUUAUUGGGCGUAAAGGGUGAGUAGGCGGAUAUAUAAGUCUAUGCAUAAGAUACCACAGCUCAACUGUGGACCUAUGUUGGAAACUAUAUGUCUAGAGUCUGAUAGAGGAAGUUAGAAUUUCUGGUGUAAGGGUGGAAUCUGUUGAUAUCAGAAAGAAUACCGGAGGCGAAGGCGAACUUCUGGGUCAAGACUGACGCUGAGUCACGAAAGCGUAGGGAGCAAACAGGAUUAACAUACCCUGGUAGUCUACGCUGUAAACGAUGCACACUUGGUGUUAACUAAAAGUUAGUACCGACGCUAACGUGUUAAGUGUGCCGCCUGGGGAGUAUGCUCGCAAGAGUGAAACUCAAAUGAAU
rnacentral:rRNA from 1 species